UAUACGUGAAUGAAGGUUCAGAAUCUUCACCUCCCUUCUUACGAGCGGCGACGGCGGCGGUGCGAAUGGCUUCCUCUUCUCCGAUCCUCACUCCUCACGACAGCGGCGCCCUCAAUAAACUCCCUUCUCCGGUCUAGUUUUCUCGAAAUCUCUCCGAUUCACUUCUCCCGCGGCUCAAUAUUUCGCUCUCGAGUCUCUGUUUUUCGUUUCGGAUUGCGUGGAUUGUGAUGUUGUCCUGUUGAUGAUGAAGACUUAAAUUGCGGUUUGGCGGAGGUGAUUGAGACGCGUGAAGUGUUGAAGACGAACGAUGAUGAACGGAGUUGAUGUGGUUGUUGUUAUGAAGCGUGAAGAGAGGAAUGGCGACUCAAUCGUGAGACGAUGAUGAAUGUAGCGCUAUUGCGACAUUCUCGAAGAUGCGGAAUCGCAAAAUCAUGUGAUUAUAGAGUGCUGCGGUUUGAUGACAUCCACGAUGAGAAAUUCAAGGACGAAUGAUGCGCGACGAACCUUUCCACAAAUCAAUGAACACUGAGACUCGAUGAUUGAAGAUUUUUCUGUGGAUAGAUAUGCAGAAUCGUGAUGAGUUUCUCGUGUAACUGCUUCUGUUAGGAUCUUUUCUUGGUUUUCAAGGAUGAAGAAUGGAGAGAGGGAAGAUCGGUGAUGAUUAUGAAGAGAUGGUGAAGUGAUGGAGGUUGAAUGAUGGUGGUGGUUAUGGAGCGUGAUGAAUGGAAGUGAAGGGAGAGUGAAGAUGAUGAAUUGAAGAAUGAUGAAGAUAGGAGCAGAAUCGAGGAAAAAAUGGAGAGGAAGCGUGAAUGAAUCCAGGUUCUGACUUUAUAGCUAUGAAGGUUUCACCAUUGGUGUGGUAACUUAUGUUUAUCUCAAGGAGACUUGGAGAGUUGACACCAAAGAAAUUACUUGAAGAUGGGUGCCCUAUGAAGCCUGAAGAACCGGUUGGAAACUAUCGGUCAACUACUGCCCAAGGUCUAGUCAACAGCUCCAAAGUCAAUGGUCAACAGUUGACCAAAAGUCAACUAUAGCAUUUUAUCUUCCUUUUUUGUAAUCCUUGUUGUAAAGCUUUGUAAUGGUGCAAUUUAGGAUUUUGGGUUGUAAUGGAUAUGUGAUGACAGAAUUAGAGUAAUUUGACUUUCCCGUAGACGUUGACUUUUGUUGACUUUCCAUGUGACUUGCCUUUCAAGUAAUCAACUCAAAUCUUCUCCAACCCUUGUAAUCUUGAAUAAAUGAAUCCAAAUGACAACCUUGAUCAAUAUGUAGCAAUUGGUCCCAAGAAAAAGAAUCCAUAAGAAUUAGUCAACAUUUGAUUAGAAGUUCACAGUGACCAAAAUGACUUCCCAAGGCUUCUCUCCAUGAUGUGUAACAAAGAUCCUGACCAAUUGACUUAUGGUAUGAAACUCACAGCUAAAUCUUGAAUUGUAAACAAAUGAGCACUCCAAUCUUUAUGCAUAGAUGAAAUCCUGACUUUUAAACCCAACUGAUGCCUCCAAUUCAUCACCAAUGAUUUAAUGAACCAAGAUUAUUUUUAAUGAAAUGAAUACAUGAUGUGUUAAAUGACCUAAUGGAGUAUGUACAUGAAUGUGCAAAGCCUAAGCCAGUUAGGAAUAAAGGGUAGGACAAAUUUGGGGUAUGACACACUCUCCCCUUUUCAUUUUCUCCCUCAUCUACCCAAUCAUCUCUAAAUUCUAAAAAUUUGAUAUCGAUUUUUAAUUGUCGGAGGAUGGUGUAGUU